rnacentral:rRNA from 1 species
UGAGGAAUAUUGGGCAAUGGACGAAAGUCUGACCCAGCAACGCCGCGUGGAGGAUGAAGGUCGUAAGAUUGUAAACUCCUGUGAGGAGGGACGAAAGAUUAAGUUUCGUAAGGGACUUAAAAUGACUGUACCUUCAGAGGAAGCCCCGGCUAACUACGUGCCAGCAGCCGCGGUAAUACGUAGGGGGCAAGCGUUGUCCGGAUUCACUGGGUGUAAAGGGCGCGUAGGCGGAUUAGUAAGUUAGAGGUGAAAUCCUACGGCUCAACCGUAGAACUGCCUCUAAUACUGCUAAUCUUGAGUGCAGAAGAGAGAAGCGGAAUUCCAGGUGUAGUGGUGAAAUACGUAGAUAUCUGGAAGAACACCAGUAGCGAAGGCGGCUUCUUGGUCUGUUACCGACGCUCAGGCGCGAAAGCGUGGGGAUCAAACAG